AUCCGGCUGACGACGAGUCUCAAAUAGGACGAAACGCGCGUCAAACUGGAU
rfam:Schistosoma mattheei strain Denwood, Zambia genome assembly, scaffold: SMTD_scaffold0020187